UACGUAGGGUGCAGGCGUUAAUCGGAAUUACUGGGCGUAAAGCGUGCGCAGGCGGUCUGCUAAGAGAGAUGUGAAAGCCCCGGGCUUAACCUGGGAACUGCGUUUGAUACGGAUGGGCUAGAGUUCGGGAGAGGAGAGUGGAAUUCCCAGUGUAGAGGUGAAAUUCGUAGAUAUUGGGAAGAACACCGGUGGCGAAGGCGGU
rnacentral:rRNA from 1 species